rnacentral:rRNA from 1 species
UACAGAGGUCCCAAGCGUUGUUCGGAUUCAUUGGGCGUAAAGGGUGCGUAGGUGGCGUGGUAAGUCGGGUGUGAAAUUUCGGAGCUCAACUUCGAAACUGCAUUCGAUACUGCCGUGCUUGAGGACUGGAGAGGAGACUGGAAUUUACGGUGUAGCAGUGAAAUGCGUAGAGAUCGUAAGGAAGACCAGUGGCGAAGGCGGGUCUCUGGACAGUUCCUGACACUGAGGCACGAAGGCCAGGGGAGCAAACGGG